rnacentral:rRNA from 1 species
CUGCAGUCACCCCGUGACACUCAUUGGUCUGCUGUUAAGCGGAUUUUGCGCUAUAUUCGUUUCACGGUGGCUCAUGGUUUGCAUAUUCGGCCGUCUGACUCUGGUUGUCUUUCAGCAUAUUCUGAUGCAGACUGGGCUGGCAAUCCAGAUGACAGGCGAUCCACGGGGGGUUAUGCUGUCUUCUUUGGCUCUAACCUGAUUGCCUGGAGUGCUCGGAAACAGGCUACUGUCUCGCGUAGCAGUACUGAGGCUGAGUAUAAGGCUGUGGCCAAUGCCACAUCAGAGAUCAUCUGGGUACAGUCCUUGCUUCAGGAGUUAAGUAUACCCCAAUCACAGCCUCUUGUUCUUUGGUGUGAUAACAUCGGUGCUACAUACCUUUCUGCAAAUCCGGUAUUCCAUGCCCGAACGAAACACAUUGAAGUUGACUAUCACUUUGUG